UUCUGAGACCCUGACACUUUGUGUGUGCAGAACGUGCUGAAGCCCCUGCGUGGGAUCCAGCAAGGUCAGGUGUGGAGGAACCAGCCAGGGCCUCUGGACUCUGCUGAGGAGUUGGGAUGCUAUUGGCCAGUGGAGGAUGUCAGACAGGAAGCCUGCAGAGUCAGCCUGACCCUUUGAGGACCAUCUGUGGGACAAGGGAAGCAAUAAGGAAACAUCGGGGGUGGGCUCCCUCAAAGGGUAGCACUGAUAGUGCGUAACCAAGGUGUUUGAUGUCCUCCUCUCCCUGCUCGCUCCCCGCAGGUGUGUGUUUGAGCCUGUGUGUAUUUCCCAUCAGGUCGCUGAAGGUGCAAAAUACUCAAUGGGCCUGUAUGUCAUUGGACGGCUGCUUUCUGACAGGCUCCUCCGUUUUAGCCUGAGGCUACUCCUGGGACAUCUUUGUGCCAUCCCAAAGCUACACAAGAGCAGGGGGUGGUGGGACAGGCCUAAGCAAAGCUGACUCCGCACGAAGACCAGGGCCAUACCACAGGCUGGUGGGGAAGCAGGCUUUCCGGAGCCUUACCAGUCCACAGGAAGGAAGAAAGUCAGGAGUUUAUCCCUCACCCCCUUCAUUGCCUCCCUUCUUUGCCCUUUCUCCACACUUGGCCCAGACCCUGAGGUCUGCAGGACACGUGGCAGGAAGUGACCCCAGCUGAAAAGGCUGCCUUCCAGAAGCAUGCCCUAGGCACGCCUGACGAGAAGACAGCACACAGGACAAAAUUCAAGGAAUCUGGAGCCGAGAAGCCCUGUAGGACUGUGUUGCUCAUUGUAUUCAUGGCAACUGUGAGGAACACCCAGGAAGGUUAAGAGACAUUCUCAGAACAGGGUCAAUUUCCUGACUCCUCACCCCAGGCUGAGUCGGAACUCACAGCCUAACUGAAGGAAGCCGCUGAGCUGCCCAGGGGUCAACUUGCUCUGCUGGCAGCUGGGACAGGGAGGGCAUGGCCUGGCACCUGGAGGCUUUCCCACAGCAGCCACCGAAUGUGAGCACGACCCUCCUCAGUCACAGGGGAAGGAACUCGGACCAGAGAAGCACACGCGGGCCCACCAUCUGCACCCUGAGCUUCCUUCCACUGACCCGCCUCUGAAGGCCAGGACCCAGCCCAGCCCUGGCCCUUGCAUCUGAAAUGUUUCCUUGCUCGGCCCCUUCCUGGCCUUAAGAAGCAAGUAUGAUCACCUGUUUUGAAAACUUCUCUGCUUGUUGGGCUGUCCCUACAUCCC